AGAGUUUGAUCCUGGCUCAGGAUGAACGCUAGCUACGGGCUUAACACAUGCAAGUCGAACGGAUUCUGGAUUCGUCUGGAAUUAGUGGCAAACGGGUGAGUAACACGUAUCCAACCACCCUGCGACUCGGGGAUAGCCUCUUGAAAGGGAGAUUAAUAUCCGAUGUACUGUUUUUGGUGCAUGCCAUUUUCAGUAAAGUUUUUUACGGUCGCUGACGGGGAUGCGUUCCAUUAGAUAGUCGGUGUGGUAACGGCUCACCGAGUCUAUGAUGGAUAGGGGUUCUGAGAGGAAGGUCCCCCACAUUGGAACUGCGACACGGUCCAAACUCCUACGGGAGGCAGCAGUGAGGAAUAUUGGUCAAUGGGCGAAAGCCUGAACCAGCUAUGUAGCGUGAAGGAUGACUGCCCUAUGGGUUGUAAACUUCUUUUGUUCGGGAAUAACAGACUUCACUUGUGGAGUUUUGCAUGUACCGUUCGAAUAAGGAUCGGCUAACUCCGUGCCAGCAGCCGCGGUAAUACGGAGGAUCCGAGCGUUAUCCGGAAUUAUUGGGUUUAAAGGGUGCGUAGGCGGCCAUUUAAGUCAGCGGUGAAAUUUUGCAGCUUAACUGUAACAGUGCCGUUGAUACUGUUUGGCUAGGAUUUGGUUGUAGUGUGCGGAAUGUGUGGUGUAGCGGUGAAAUGCUUAGAUAUCACACAGAACACCGAUUGCGAAGGCAGCACACUAAGUCAUUAUUGACGCUGAGGCACGAAAGUGUGGGGAUCAAACAGGAUUAGAUACCCUGGUAGUCCACACUGUAAACGAUGAUAACUCGCUGUCGGCGAUACACAGUCGGUGGCCAAGCGAAAGCAUUAAGUUAUCCACCUGGGGAGUACGACCGCAAGGUUGAAACUCAAAGGAAUUGACGGGGGCCCGCACAAGCGGAGGAACAUGUGGUUUAAUUCGAUGAUACGCGAGGAACCUUACCCGGGCUCGAACGGUGCAUGAAUAUACGAGAGAUUGUAUAGUCCUUCGGGACAUGUAUCGAGGUGCUGCAUGGUUGUCGUCAGCUCGUGCCGUGAGGUGUCGGCUUAAGUGCCAUAACGAGCGCAACCCUUGUCAUUAGUUGCCAUCAGGUCAAGCUGGGGACUUUAAUGAGACUGCCACCGUAAGGUGUGAGGAAGGGGGGGAGGACGUCAAAUCAGCACGGCCCUUAUGUCCGGGGCGACACACGUGUUACAAUGGGAGGUACAGAGGGCAGCUAUCCGGUGACGGAAUGCUAAUCUCCAAAACCUUUCUCAGUUCGGAUUGGAGUCUGCAACUCGACUCCAUGAAGGUGGAUUCGCUAGUAAUCGCGCAUCAGCCAUGGCGCGGUGAAUACGUUCCCGGGCCUUGUACACACCGCCC
rnacentral:rRNA from 1 species